rnacentral:rRNA from 1 species
GGAUUAGAUACCCUGGUAGUCCACACCGUAAACGCUGUCUACUAGCUGUUUGUGACUUUAAGUCGUGAGUAGCGAAGCUAACGCGCUAAGUAGACCGCCUGGGGAGUACGGCCGCAAGGUUAAAACUCAAAUGAAUUGACGGGGGCCCGCACAAGCGGUGGAGCAUGUGGUUUAAUUCGAUGCAACGCGAAGAACCUUACCUACACUUGACAUGCAGAGAACUUUCCAGAGAUGGAUUGGUGCCUUCGGGAACUCUGACACAGGUGCUGCAUGGCUGUCGUCAGCUCGUGCCG